GACGAACGCUGGCGGCGUGCUUAACACAUGCAAGUCGAACGGUAAGGCCCUUCGGGGUACACGAGUGGCGAACGGGUGAGUAACACGUGGGUGAUCUUCCCUGCACUUCGGGAUAAGCCUGGGAAACUGGGUCUAAUACCGGAUAGGACCACUGCCUGCAUGGGUGGUGGUGGAAAGCUUUUGCGGUGUGGGAUGGGCCCGCGGCCUAUCAGCUUGUUGGUGGGGUGAUGGCCUACCAAGGCGACGACGGGCUGCCGGCCUGAGGGGGUGACCGGGCAUGGUGGGGAUGAGAUACGGGCAAGACGCCUACGGGAGGCAGAAGUGGGGAAUAUUGCACAAUGGGCGCAAGCCUGAUGCAGCGUCGCCGCGUGAGGGAUGACGGCCUUCGGGUUGUAAACCUCUUUCAGUACCGACGAAGCGCAAGUGACGGUAGGUGCAGAAGAAGGACCGGCCAACUACGUGCCAGCCGCCGCCGUAA
rnacentral:rRNA from 1 species